GUUUCGGCACGAGUUGUAGAUUGCAGGUUGGAGUCUUUGUGGAAGCGUGUGUCUAAGUCCCUUGGAACAGGGUGCCAUUGAGGGUGAGAGCCCCGUGAGACGCGUGCGGAAGCUGUAAGGCCCUUCUGACGAGUCGAGUUGUUUGGGAAUGCAGCUCUAAGUGGGUGGUAAAUUCCAUCUAAGGCUAAAUAUUGGCGAGAGACCGAUAGCGAACAAGUACUGUGAAGGAAAGAUGAAAAGCACUUUGAAAAGAGAGUGAAACAGCACGUGAAAUUGUUGAAAGGGAAGGGUAUUGGGCUCGACAUGGGAUUUGCGCACCGCUGCUCCUUGUGGGCGGCGCUCUGUGCUUUUCCUGGGCCAGCAUCGGUUUUUGCCGCAGGAGAAGGCGUGCUGGAAUGUGGCUCUUCGGAGUGUUAUAGCCAGUGCGAGAUGCUGCGUGCGGGGACCGAGGACUGCGACAUCUGUCUCGGAUGCUGGCACAACGGCGCAAUACCGCC
rnacentral:rRNA from 1 species